AAUGGUUUUCAAGUCUAUCAAUGUGUUCCCUAGAGUUCCCUUGACCGCUUCAUUAGGGCUUACUUGUUGUUUGAUGCCCUGCUGAAGUGUUUGGGGGAACUCCUGGGCUCACUUUGAAAUUUUACACAAACAAAUAUAAGUGUGAGAGUAUUGGUUGUGGAUAAUGAACACAAUAUUUUACGUAUAAAUCUAUCAAGGUGUUCCCUAGAGUUCCCUUGACCACUUCAUGAGGGCUUACUUUGUUGUUUGAAGCCCUAUUGAAGUGUUUGGGGGAACUCCCGGGUUCACUUUGAAAAUUACACAAACAAGUAGAAGUGCAAGAGUA